UACACAAUGCACUCGGCAGAGAGGCUCCACAACAUCAUUGAGAUCUGUGGCGGAUUGACCCAAGAGACAACUCUCCACUUCCACCCAUUUGCACGGAUGGGUUUGCUUGAAGCUUUUCUCUCUCUCUUUGGAACACUGGUAAUUCAGAAAACUUGCAGCUACAAAGGCAUCAUGUCUGCGUUCGAGUCAAUUGGAAACAACACUCAGAAAAAGCUUAUAAAAAUAGAUAUCAGUUCAGACACUGUGUGUCCAUGGUGCUUUAUGGGCAAAAAAAAUCUUGACAAAGCUAUAGCUACAUCUAAGGAUCACUAUGACUUUAAGGUUUGCUCUCUCUCUCUCUCUCUCUCUCUGUGUUUGUGCGUGUGUGUGCACGCAUGUUUGUGUUCCAACUCUUAUCUUUUAUCAACUACAUUUGUAGAUUAGAUGGCAUCCAUUUCAACUUAAUCCUUUUGCCCCAAAAGAAGGCAUCAAUAGGAAAGAGUAUUAUAGGAACAAGUUUGGAUCUCAAACUAAGAGGAUAGAAGCUCGGAUGUCAGAGGUUUUUAGGGGCCAUGGAUUGGAAUAUAACCUUUUAGGAAUCACG